rnacentral:rRNA from 1 species
GAUGAACGCUAGCGGCAGGCUUAAUACAUGCAAGUCGAGGGGCAGCGCGGGUAGCAAUACCUGGCGGCGACCGGCAAACGGGUGCGGAACACGUACGCAACCUUCCCAUAACUGGUGAAUAGCCCUCCGAAAGGAGGAUUAAUACACCGUAACAUAACGAAGAGGCGUCUUUGUGUUAUUAUAGUAGCAAUACGGUAUUGGAUGGGCGUGCGCCUGAUUAGGUAGUUGGCGGGGUAACGGCCCACCAAGCCUGCGAUCAGUAACUGGUGUGAGAGCACGACCAGUCACACGGGCACUGAGACACGGGCCCGACUCCUACGGGAGGCAGCAGUAAGGAAUAUUGGUCAAUGGACGAAAGUCUGAACCAGCCAUGCCGCGUGAAGGAUUAAGGCCCUCUGGGUUGUAAACUUCUUUUAUCUGGGACGAAAAAAGGGCAUUCUUGCUCACUUGACGGUACCAGAGGAAUAAGCACCGGCUAACUCCGUGCCAGCCGCCGCCGUAA